AUCCACGGCCAUAGGACUCUGAAAGCACCGCAUCCCGUCCGAUCUGCGCAGUUAACCAGAGUGCCG
rnacentral:rRNA from 1 species